AAUUUCACGAUGAAAUGGUAAGUACAUGGGGAUAACUCCUUAACAGAGAGCUUCGGUAGCUGAGAAGAAGCAGGAGGGAACGCAAGGAAAAUGGCCAUGGAGUGACUCGCUUCGAGCGCAAGCAAGGGGUAGACGGGGGCGACCGUUACAUCGCUAGAGUAUGAUAGUACUUGAAGAGGAGCUGUAUGUGAGUGCAGCUUAAACUGAGGUGGUAACACGCAAAAAGGCGUCCUCAAG
rnacentral:ncRNA from 1 species